rnacentral:miRNA from 1 species
GUCAGCUGACACAUUCCAGCCAAUCAGCAGCAGACCCUCCCUCCCACCUCCUGGACAGCAUCCAUUUUGAAGCUGCAUUCUUAGUGAGCUGUCCAGGAGGUGGGAGGGUAUGGGAGGGAGGGUCUGCUGCUGAUUGGCUGGAAUGUGUCAGAUG